UGUUGUUCGCGGUGAAGUCCAGAAACGUACCAGUGGAAAAGCGUAUGGGGUCAUUUUCACCGACUUGGUGUCCCGAGCGGUUCAUAUUGAAGCAGUUUACGGUUACGACACAAGCUCCUUUCUCCUGGCGCUCAGCCGAUUCGCAAGUAUCCGCGGAUGGCCUGAAUUCAUCUACAGUGAUCCUGGUUCACAGUUAAUCGGAGCAGAAAGAGAGCUUAAAGAAGCUUGGGAGAAGAUCGAUCGAAGCGAGUUACACAAGAGUGGUCUACAAAAUGGUCUAACGUGGAAAUUUGGAUCAGCAGAUAGUCCUUGGCAUCAAGGAGCAGUGGAGUCUCUUGUGAAAGCAGCCAAGAGAGCGAUUGUCUUUGCGGUUGGU
rnacentral:lncRNA from 1 species